rnacentral:hammerhead_ribozyme from 1 species
ACUCAACUGACGAGUCCCAAAUAGAACGAAACAGGCGUUCUGGAU